GACGAACGCUGGCGGCGUGCUUAACACAUGCAAGUCGAACGCUGAAGCACCAGCUUGCUGGUGUGGAUGAGUGGCGAACGGGUGAGUAAUACGUGAGUAACCUGCCCUUGACUCUGGGAUAAGCCCGGGAAACUGGGUCUAAUACUGGAUGCUACAUGUCACCGCAUGGUGGUGUGUGGAAAGGGUUUACUGGUCUUGGAUGGGCUCACGGCCUAUCAGCUUGUUGGUGAGGUAAUGGCUCACCAAGGCGACGACGGGUAGCCGGCCUGAGAGGGUGACCGGCCACACUGGGACUGAGACACGGCCCAGACUCCGACGGGAGGCAGCAGUGGGGAAUAUUGCACAAUGGGCGAAAGCCUGAUGCAGCGACGCCGCGUGAGGGAGGACGGCCUUCGGGUUGUAAACCUCUUUCAGCAGGGAAGAAGCCACAAGUGACGGUACCUGCAGAAGAAGCGCCGGCUAACUACGUG
rnacentral:rRNA from 1 species